rnacentral:rRNA from 2 species
ACGGAGCAACGCCGCGUGAGUGAUGAAGGCUUUCGGGUCGUAAAACUCUGUUGUUAGGGAAGAACAAGUGCUAGUUGAAUAAGCUGGCACCUUGACGGUACCUAACCAGAAAGCCACGGCUAACUACGUGCCAGCAGCCGCGGUAAUACGUAGGUGGCAAGCGUUAUCCGGAAUUAUUGGGCGUAAAGCGCGCGCAGGUGGUUUCUUAAGUCUGAUGUGAAAGCCCACGGCUCAACCGUGGAGGGUCAUUGGAAACUGGGAGACUUGAGUGCAGAAGAGGAAAGUGGAAUUCCAUGUGUAGCGGUGAAAUGCGUAGAGAUAUGGAGGAACACCAGUGGCGAAGGCGACUUUCUGGUCUGUAACUGACACUGAGGCGCGAAAGCGUGGGGAGCAAACAGGAUUAGAUACCCUGGUAGUCCACGCCGUAUACGAUGAGUGCUAAGUGUUAUAGGGUUU